GGGUUGUGAGGUUAAGCGACUAAGCGUACACGGUGGAUGCCCUGGCAGUCAGAGGCGAUGAAGGGCGUGCUAAUCUGCGAUAAGCGCCGGUAAGGUGAUAUGAACCGUUAUAACCGGCGAUACCCGAAUGGGGAAACCCAGUGUGAUUCGUCACACUAUCAUUAACUGAAUCCAUAGGUUAAUGAGGCGAACCGGGGGAACUGAAACAUCUAAGUACCCCGAGGAAAAGAAAUCAACCGAGAUUCCCCCAGUAGCGGCGAGCGAACGGGGAGGAGCCCAGAGCCUGAAUCAGCAUGUGUGUUAGUGGAAGCGUCUGGAAAGGCGCGCGAUACAGGGUGACAGCCCCGUACACAAAAGCGCAUGUGCUGUGAGCUCGAUGAGUAGGGCGGGACACGUGGUAUCCUGUCUGAAUAUGGGGGGACCAUCCUCCAAGGCUAAAUACUCCUGACUGACCGAUAGUGAACCAGUACCGUGAGGGAAAGGCGAAAAGAACCCCGGCGAGGGGAGUGAAAAAGAACCUGAAACCGUGUACGUACAAGCAGUGGGAGCACAGGUUUACCUGUGUGACUGCGUACCUUUUGUAUAAUGGGUCAGCGACUUAUAUUCUGUAGCAAGGUUAACCGAAUAGGGGAGCCGGAGGGAAACCGAGUCUUAAUUGGGCGUUAAGUUGCAGGGUAUAGACCCGAAACCCGGUGAUCUAGCCAUGGGCAGGUUGAAGGUUGGGUAACACUAACUGGAGGACCGAACCGACUAAUGUUGAAAAAUUAGCGGAUGACCUGUGGCUGGGGGUGAAAGGCCAAUCAAACCGGGAGAUAGCUGGUUCUCCCCGAAAGCUAUUUAGGUAGCGCCUCGUGAAUUCAUCUCCGGGGGUAGAGCACUGUUUCGGCUAGGGGGCCAUCCCGGCUUACCAACCCGAUGCAAACUGCGAAUACCGGAGAAUGUUAUCACGGGAGACACACGGCGGGUGCUAACGUCCGUCGUGAAGAGGGAAACAACCCAGACCGCCAGCUAAGGUCCCAAAGUCAUGGUUAAGUGGGAAACGAUGUGGGAAGGCCCAGACAGCCAGGAUGUUGGCUUAGAAGCAGCCAUCAUUUAAAGAAAGCGUAAUAGCUCACUGGUCGAGUCGGCCUGCGCGGAAGAUGUAACGGGGCUAAACCAUGCACCGAAGCUGCGGCAGCGAACGUAUCACCCAAGACAACUUUACGGAGUUGACGAUUGACGGAGCGAAGCGACGUCAAAGCGUUCAUUAAAGUCGAGUUGGCUUAGGGAUACGUUCGUUGGGUAGGGGAGCGUUCUGUAAGCCUGUGAAGGUGUGUCGUGAGGCAUGCUGGAGGUAUCAGAAGUGCGAAUGCUGACAUAAGUAACGAUAAAGCGGGUGAAAAGCCCGCUCGCCGGAAGACCAAGGGUUCCUGUCCAACGUUAAUCGGGGCAGGGUGAGUCGACCCCUAAGGCGAGGCCGAAAGGCGUAGUCGAUGGGAAACGGGUUAAUAUUCCCGUACUUGGUGUUACUGCGAAGGGGGGACGGAGAAGGCUAUGUUGGCCGGGCGACGGUUGUCCCGGUUUAAGCGUGUAGGUGUGUGUUCCAGGUAAAUCCGGUUCACUUUAACACUGAGGCGUGACGACGAGGCACUACGGUGCUGAAGCAACAAAUGCCCUGCUUCCAGGAAAAGCCUCUAAGCAUCAGGUAACACGAAAUCGUACCCCAAACCGACACAGGUGGUCAGGUAGAGAAUACCAAGGCGCUUGAGAGAACUCGGGUGAAGGAACUAGGCAAAAUGGUGCCGUAACUUCGGGAGAAGGCACGCUGACACGUAGGUGAAGUGAUUUACUCAUGGAGCUGAAGUCAGUCGAAGAUACCAGCUGGCUGCAACUGUUUAUUAAAAACACAGCACUGUGCAAACACGAAAGUGGACGUAUACGGUGUGACGCCUGCCCGGUGCCGGAAGGUUAAUUGAUGGGGUCAGCGUAAGCGAAGCUCCUGAUCGAAGCCCCGGUAAACGGCGGCCGUAACUAUAACGGUCCUAAGGUAGCGAAAUUCCUUGUCGGGUAAGUUCCGACCUGCACGAAUGGCGUAAUGAUGGCCAGGCUGUCUCCACCCGAGACUCAGUGAAAUUGAACUCGCUGUGAAGAUGCAGUGUACCCGCGGCAAGACGGAAAGACCCCGUGAACCUUUACUAUAGCUUGACACUGAACAUUGAGCCUUGAUGUGUAGGAUAGGUGGGAGGCUUUGAAGUGUGGACGCCAGUCUGCAUGGAGCCGACCUUGAAAUACCACCCUUUAAUGUUUGAUGUUCUAACGUGGACCCGUAAUCCGGGUUGCGGACAGUGUCUGGUGGGUAGUUUGACUGGGGCGGUCUCCUCCUAAAGAGUAACGGAGGAGCACGAAGGUUGGCUAAUCCUGGUCGGACAUCAGGAGGUUAGUGCAAUGGCAUAAGCCAGCUUGACUGCGAGCGUGACGGCGCGAGCAGGUGCGAAAGCAGGUCAUAGUGAUCCGGUGGUUCUGAAUGGAAGGGCCAUCGCUCAACGGAUAAAAGGUACUCCGGGGAUAACAGGCUGAUACCGCCCAAGAGUUCAUAUCGACGGCGGUGUUUGGCACCUCGAUGUCGGCUCAUCACAUCCUGGGGCUGAAGUAGGUCCCAAGGGUAUGGCUGUUCGCCAUUUAAAGUGGUACGCGAGCUGGGUUUAGAACGUCGUGAGACAGUUCGGUCCCUAUCUGCCGUGGGCGCUGGAGAACUGAGGGGGGCUGCUCCUAGUACGAGAGGACCGGAGUGGACGCAUCACUGGUGUUCGGGUUGUCAUGCCAAUGGCACUGCCCGGUAGCUAAAUGCGGAAGAGAUAAGUGCUGAAAGCAUCUAAGCACGAAACUUGCCCCGAGAUGAGUUCUCCCUGAGACUUAGAGUCUCCUGAAGGAACGUUGAAGACGACGACGUUGAUAGGCCGGGUGUGUAAGCGCAGCGAUGCGUUGAGCUAACCGGUACUAAUGAACCGUGAGGCUUAACCUUACAACGCCGAAG
rnacentral:rRNA from 6 species